rnacentral:tRNA from 1 species
GCCGAUGUGGUGGAAUUGGCAGACACAAGGGACUUAAAAUCCCUCGGGGGGCGACCUCCGUGCCGGUUCGAGUCCGGCCAUCGGCACCA